rnacentral:rRNA from 1 species
UACGUAGGGUCCAAGCGUUAUCCGGAAUUACUGGGCGUAAAGAGUUGCGUAGGUGGCAGAGUAAGUUGAUAGUGAAAUCGUGUGGCUCAACCAUACAUCCAUUACCAAAACUGCUCAGCUAGAAGAUGAGAGAGGUCGCUGGAAUUCCUAGUGUAGGAGUGAAAUCCGUAGAUAUCAGGAGGAACACCAAUGGCGAAGGCAGCUCGCUGGGACGGUACUGACGCUGAGACGCGAAAGCGUGGGGAGCAAACAGG